rnacentral:rRNA from 1 species
UUUUUGGAGAGUUUGAUCCUGGCUCAGGAUGAACGCUGGCGGCGUGCCUAAUACAUGCAAGUCGAGCG